UACGUAGGUCCCGAGCGUUGUCCGGAUUUAUUAGGCGUAAAGCGAGCGCAGGUGGUUUAUUAAGUCUGGUGUAAAAGGCAGUGGCUCAACCAUUGUAUGCAUUGGAAACUGGUAGACUUGAGUGCAGGAGAGGAGAGUGGAAUUCCAUGUGUAGCGGUGAAAUGCGUAGAUAUAUGGAGGAACACCGGUGGCGAAAGCGGCUCUCUGGCCUGUAACUGACACUGAGGCUCGAAAGCGUGGGUAGCAAACAGG
rnacentral:rRNA from 1 species